GUAAGCGUGGAUGAGAUUUAAGUGUAGAAAGAUUUUGAAAGUGGCUGGUGGGUGGAAGAGACUCUAAUUCUUGAGGGAUAUCGAAUUUACUUUAAUUAAAAGCAAGCUGUCUAGCUUGCCUAUCUAUUUUUUUUUAGGUUCACUAUUCCUGCCUCUAUAGCGGACAAGUAAUUUUUUUUUAUCAGCAAUGGCAGACAAGUUUGAAACGGGAUUUGCUUGGGUGGAUGGUGAGCGGGUGGAUGUGUGGGCGUUUUCUUGUGAUUUUUUUUCUUUGGGGGGGGGGGGGGGAAGUUGGUGAAUAGUUGAUUUAUCAUCUUAUGGGAUACUUGGCUUGUGCUCCUAUGAGUAUCAGGGAUUGAGAUUUUGGGGAGUUGGCUCUACUCUUAUAUGCCUAAAAGAGGGAAAUUUCGAGGACAGUCGUACAGGUGAAAUUUGGGACUUUAUUUGGAUGUCUUUGAAGGUGAGCAGGUGCCUUAUGGGGUUGGUCAUAGGAAGGAAGUUAGGAGAAAACGUUAGUUUCAGUUAAAUUCGAGGUUUGGCGCAGACAGCGCUGUGGGAGUUGGGUUCGGGGCCUAGAUGCUAGGUUGUAGGUGAUUUUCCAGCUCUUUCAAGGAAUACCAGUCAAUAGACAUGAUGUGGUCAGUCACCACUUGAGGAGGAAGGGAAACACUUUUUUGUUUUUUUGGGAUAGUGCUUCGCAUUUAGAGUCGAGUGACUGAAGGUAGAAGAGCUGUUGUGCCUGUUGGGGUUACAUUAUGAGCUGCCUAUUUUGGGGACGCUGAGGUGGGGUCAAAGCUGGCAAACUUUGGGUGAAGUCCAAUUAUAGAGCUUUGGUGGGUGGUAGGAGUAGUGCUUUAACUUAUAGGGCUAUUUGGAGACAAAGGCACCGACAAAGGUUGCGUUCUUUGGGUAGAGUGCAGCACAUUUUUACUGUUGACAACCUUAUCUGAUGAACAAGUCCAUGUCAGUUUGUGAUGUUUUGCAAAAGCGAUGGUGAGUCGGUGGAUCACCUCAUUAUUCAUUGUUUGCUGACUGGGGAGCCUUGAAAGAUUUUGUUCUUUCUUUUGCGACAACGUGGGUUUUCCUGUCAUGUUUUGGAGCUUCAAUUGUCUGGGGGAGGGGCUAGAAUUGACGAGAGGGAGGAAAAGGCUUGGUGCUGUGGCCUUGAGGUUUGAUGUGUUUUAUUUGGACACAGAGGAACUGAUUUUUGAAGGCGCGGUGGCCCUCUUUUUGUUUUGGAAGUAGAGCUUUGGCCAUUUUUUAUAAUUGGUUCUCAACAGUUGGCUUUUUUUUGGGGUGCUUUUUGUGCAGCUUUGAUGUGCUGCAUUUGCUCAACUGUAGAGUUCUGCGCAUAUUUCUCAUGUAUACGGGUGGCACUCUUUUCGAAUUAUGUUUGCAUAUUAAUGAUAAAUCAAUCAUCCAAAAGUCAAACUGGUUGGCUUGAUUUUCGUUUGUAGGAAUUUUCAAAACCAUCUAGCCAAUCAAGGUAUGCCAAGUCAGAAAGUGUUCAAUCAUUUUGAUCUCUUGAAUUUUGUGAGGUUCAGUAAACAUGUCUUAAUUUCCAGGAAAUUAAUGAAAAUUGCAUGCUAAUGCAGAGGAUUGUAAUUGAGGUUGGCUAAACUCGCUGAAUGGAAAAAAUAAA